GAUGAACGCUGGCGGCGUGCUUAACACAUGCAAGUCGAACGGAAAGGCCCUGCUUUUGUGGGGUGCUCGAGUGGCGAACGGGUGAGUAACACGUGAGUAACCUGCCCUUGACUUUGGGAUAACUUCAGGAAACUGGGGCUAAUACCGGAUAGGAGCUCCUGCUGCAUGGUGGGGGUUGGAAAGUUUCGGCGGUUGGGGAUGGACUCGCGGCUUAUCAGCUUGUUGGUGGGGUAGUGGCUUACCAAGGCUUUGACGGGUAGCCGGCCUGAGAGGGUGACCGGCCACAUUGGGACUGAGAUACGGCCCAGACUCCUACGGGAGGCAGCAGUGGGGAAUAUUGCACAAUGGGCGGGAGCCUGAUGCAGCAACGCCGCGUGCGGGAUGACGGCCUUCGGGUUGUAAACCGCUUUCGCCUGUGACGAAGCGUGAGUGACGGUAAUGGGUAAAGAAGCACCGGCUAACUACGUG
rnacentral:rRNA from 1 species